GUCAGGGGAGUUCUGGGAGAUGUAGUUCCUCUUUCUCCUGCCAUCGUGCAUUCCCUCCGCCCCCUCCCCCAACCUCCUCACACACUUCAUCGCUCAACUGCCAGUGUCGUUACCAUCAACAUAAACGACGGUAGUAAAUAAUGGCAGUAUGAUUACAUUCAUACUUUAUGUACCACCCUCUCAACAGUGCUGCAAAGGCUGUUUGGAUAUGGAGGAGGCCAAAGUGGCAAUUACUCAGACUGGCGUCCAAAUCUGGAAAUUCCCACAGCAGCAUGUUCUCUCCACUCUGCUCCCUCUUCAGAGGGAAUUGGUUUGCAGGGAUUUAGACUACAGUAAGGCUUCCCCAGAGCUUGCAAACAGGGUUCAUUUACCCUCUAUGCAAACAAGGUCAGCAACUCCAGGACUGCAGUAGAAGCAGCAAAGAACAAGAAAUAAUUUGAUACUAACAUCCUCAUUCUACAGAAUUUGAGCUUUGCUAAAGAAAACUGAAGUUACUAUUGAGUCUGUUCGUUUGCUUUCUCCUUUCUCCCAAGUUUCAGCAGUUCAGAAUGUCAAUAAUUUACCCUAAGACAAC
rnacentral:lncRNA from 1 species